GUAGGACACUCUAUACGGAGUUACAAAGGACGACAUUAGACGAAUCAUCUGGAAAGAUGAAUCAAAGAAGGUAAUAAUCCUGUAGUCGAAAAUGUUGUCUCUCUUGAGUGGAUCCUGAGUACGACGGAGCACGUGAAAUUCCGUCGGAAUCUGGGAGGACCAUCUCCUAAGGCUAAAUACUCUCUAGUGACCGAUAGUGAACCAGUACCGUGAGGGAAAGGUGAAAAGCACCCCGGAAGGGGAGUGAAAUAGAACCUGAAACCGUGUGCUUACAAGUAGUCAGAGCCCGUUAAUGGGUGAUGGCGUGCCUUUUGUAGAAUGAACCGGCGAGUUACGAUUUGAUGCAAGGUUAAGCAGUAAAUGUGGAGCCGUAGCGAAAGCGAGUCUGAAUAGGGCGUUUAGUAUUUGGUCGUAGACCCGAAACCAGGUGAUCUACCCUUGGUCAGGUUGAAGUUCAGGUAACACUGAAUGGAGGACCGAACCGACUUACGUUGAAAAGUGAGCGGAUGAACUGAGGGUAGCGGAGAAAUUCCAAUCGAACCUGGAGAUAGCUGGUUCUCUCCGAAAUAGCUUUAGGGCUAGCCUCAAGUGAUGAUUAUUGGAGGUAGAGCACUGUUUGGACGAGGGGCCCCUCUCGGGUUACCGAAUUCAGACAAACUCCGAAUGCCAAUUAAUUUAACUUGGGAGUCAGAACAUGGGUGAUAAGGUCCGUGUUCGAAAGGGAAACAGCCCAGACCACCAGCUAAGGUCCCAAAAUAUAUGUUAAGUGGAAAAGGAUGUGGCGUUGCCCAGACAACUAGGAUGUUGGCUUAGAAGCAGCCAUCAUUUAAAGAGUGCGUAAUAGCUCACUAGUCGAGUGACACUGCGCCGAAAAUGUACCGGGGCUAAACAUAUUACCGAAGCUGUGGAUUGUCCUUUGGACAAUGGUAGGAGAGCGUUCUAAGGGCGUUGAAGCAUGAUCGUAAGGACAUGUGGAGCGCUUAGAAGUGAGAAUGCCGGUGUGAGUAGCGAAAGACGGGUGAGAAUCCCGUCCACCGAUUGACUAAGGUUUCCAGAGGAAGGCUCGUCCGCUCUGGGUUAGUCGGGUCCUAAGCUGAGGCCGACAGGCGUAGGCGAUGGAUAACAGGUUGAUAUUCCUGUACCACCUAUAAUCGUUUUAAUCGAUGGGGGGACGCAGUAGGAUAGGCGAAGCGUGCGAUUGGAUUGCACGUCUAAGCAGUAAGGCUGAGUAUUAGGCAAAUCCGGUACUCGUUAAGGCUGAGCUGUGAUGGGGAGAAGACAUUGUGUCUUCGAGUCGUUGAUUUCACACUGCCGAGAAAAGCCUCUAGAUAGAAAAUAGGUGCCCGUACCGCAAACCGACACAGGUAGUCAAGAUGAGAAUUCUAAGGUGAGCGAGCGAACUCUCGUUAAGGAACUCGGCAAAAUGACCCCGUAACUUCGGGAGAAGGGGUGCUCUUUAGGGUUAACGCCCAGAAGAGCCGCAGUGAAUAGGCCCAAGCGACUGUUUAUCAAAAACACAGGUCUCUGCUAAACCGUAAGGUGAUGUAUAGGGGCUGACGCCUGCCCGGUGCUGGAAGGUUAAGAGGAGUGGUUAGCUUCUGCGAAGCUACGAAUCGAAGCCCCAGUAAACGGCGGCCGUAACUAUAACGGUCCUAAGGUAGCGAAAUUCCUUGUCGGGUAAGUUCCGACCCGCACGAAAGGCGUAACGAUUUGGGCACUGUCUCAACGAGAGACUCGGUGAAAUCAUAGUACCUGUGAAGAUGCAGGUUACCCGCGACAGGACGGAAAGACCCCGUGGAGCUUUACUGUAGCCUGAUAUUGAAAUUCGGCACAGCUUGUACAGGAUAGGUAGGAGCCUUUGAAACGUGAGCGCUAGCUUACGUGGAGGCGCUGGUGGGAUACUACCCUAGCUGUGUUGGCUUUCUAACCCGCACCACUUAUCGUGGUGGGAGACAGUGUCAGGCGGGCAGUUUGACUGGGGCGGUCGCCUCCUAAAAGGUAACGGAGGCGCUCAAAGGUUCCCUCAGAAUGGUUGGAAAUCAUUCAUAGAGUGUAAAGGCAUAAGGGAGCUUGACUGCGAGACCUACAAGUCGAGCAGGGUCGAAAGACGGACUUAGUGAUCCGGUGGUUCCGCAUGGAAGGGCCAUCGCUCAACGGAUAAAAGCUACCCCGGGGAUAACAGGCUUAUCUCCCCCAAGAGUUCACAUCGACGGGGAGGUUUGGCACCUCGAUGUCGGCUCAUCGCAUCCUGGGGCUGUAGUCGGUCCCAAGGGUUGGGCUGUUCGCCCAUUAAAGCGGUACGCGAGCUGGGUUCAGAACGUCGUGAGACAGUUCGGUCCCUAUCCGUCGUGGGCGUAGGAAAUUUGAGAGGAGCUGUCCUUAGUACGAGAGGACCGGGAUGGACAUACCUCUGGUGUACCAGUUGUCGUGCCAACGGCAUAGCUGGGUAGCUAUGUGUGGACGGGAUAAGUGCUGAAAGCAUCUAAGCAUGAAGCCCCCCUCAAGAUGAGAUUUCCCAACUUCGGUUAUAAGAUCCCUCAAAGAUGAUGAGGUUAAUAGGUUCGAGGUGGAAGCAUGGUGACAUGUGGAGCUGACGAAUACUAAUCGAUCGAAGACUUAAUCAA
rnacentral:rRNA from 2 species